rnacentral:tRNA from 1 species
GCCGAAGUGGCGGAAAUGGCAGACGCGCGGCACUUAGGAUGCCGUGUCCACGGGCGUGCGGGUUCAAGUCCCGCCUUCGGCACAA